rnacentral:misc_RNA from 1 species
UUUCCGUAGGUGAACCUGCGGAAGGAUCAUUACAGAGUUCAUGCCCUCACGGGUAGAUCUCCCACCCUUGAAUAUUUAUACCUUAGUUGCUUUGUCAGGCCGUGGAAACACCAUGGGCUCCGGCUUAUGCGUGCCUGCCAGAGGAAACAAACUCUGUUUUUAGUGAUGUCUGAGUACUAUAUAAUAGUUAAAACUUUCAACAACGGAUCUCUUGGUUCUG